AUUGAACGCUGGCGGCAGGCCUAACACAUGCAAGUCGAGCGAGCGGCGGACGGGUGAGUAAUGUAUGGGGACUGCCCGAUAGAGGGGGAUAACUACUGGAAACGGUAGCUAAUACCGCAUACUAUCGGAUAACCCAUAUGGGAUUAGCUAGUUGGUGAGGUAAAGGCUCACUAAGCCGACGAUCUCUAGCUGGUCUGAGAGGAUGACCAGCCAUACUGAGAAUUAUCCACGGACCAUACUCCUGCGGAGGCAGCAGUAGGGUAGAUGGCGCAAGGGGGGAAACCCUGACGCAGCCAUGCCGCGAGAAUGAAGAAGGCCUUCGGGUUGUAAAGUUCUUUCGGUGACGAGUCGUUAACUACAGAAGAAGCACCGGCUAACUCCGUACCAGCAGCCGCAGUAAUAC
rnacentral:rRNA from 1 species